rfam:Callithrix jacchus chromosome 4, whole genome shotgun sequence
CCAAAGGCUCUUUUCAGAGCCAACAACACUUUCAUUUGAAUGAGC